AGUGAACGCUGGCGGUAGGCCUAACACAUGCAAGUCGAACGGCAGCACAGUAAGAGCUUGCUCUUACGGGUGGCGAGUGGCGGACGGGUGAGGAAUACAUCGGAAUCUACUUUUUCGUGGGGGAUAACGUAGGGAAACUUACGCUAAUACCGCAUACGACCUACGGGUGAAAGCAGGGGAUCUUCGGACCUUGCGCGAUUGAAUGAGCCGAUGUCGGAUUAGCUAGUUGGCGGGGUAAAGGCCCACCAAGGCGACGAUCCGUAGCUGGUCUGAGAGGAUGAUCAGCCACACUGGAACUGAGACACGGUCCAGACUCCUACGGGAGGCAGCAGUGGGGAAUACUGGACAAUGGGCGCAAGCCUGAUCCAGCCAUACCGCGUGGGUGAAGAAGGCCUUCGGGUUGUAAAGCCCUUUUGUUGGGAAAGAAAAGCAGCAGGUUAAUACCCCGCUGUUCUGACGGUACCCAAAGAAUAAGCACCGGCUAACUUCGU
rnacentral:rRNA from 1 species